rnacentral:rRNA from 1 species
AUUGAACGCUGGCGGCAUGCCUUACACAUGCAAGUCGAACGGCAGCACGGGAGCAAUCCUGGUGGCGAGUGGCGAACGGGUGAGUAACAUAUCGGAACGUACCCAGUCGUGGGGGAUAACGUAGCGAAAGCUACGCUAAUACCGCAUACGAUCUAUGGAUGAAAGCGGGGGAUCGCAAGACCUCGCGCGAUUGGAGCGGCCGAUAUCAGACUAGGUAGUUGGUGGGGUAAAAGCCUACCAAGCCUUCGAUCUGUAGCUGGUCUGAGAGGACGACCAGCCACACUGGAACUGAGACACGGUCCAGACUCCUACGGGAGGCAGCAGUGGGGAAUUUUGGACAAUGGGCGCAAGCCUGAUCCAGCAAUGCCGCGUGCAGGAUGAAGGCCUUUGGGUUGUAAACUGCUUUUGUACGGAACGAAACGGUUCUCUCUAAUACAGGGGGCUAAUGACGGUACCGUAAGAAUAAGCACCGGCUAACUACGUGCCAGCAGCCG